GGGCCGUUAGCUCAAUUGGUAGAGCGUUCGCAUGGCAUGCGAAAGGUCAGGAGUUCGAUUCUCCUACGGUCCACUA
rnacentral:tRNA from 1 species